UGCGCGCCCCCGCCGGGCGCGCCGGCUUUCUUGAUGCCGAGAGGAAGCGGGGCAGCCUACGAAUUUGCAUUUCGACGGCUUCUGCAGGAAAUGGCAUCAUCUUUGGAUUUUACGAGUAGUGAUUUUGAACAGGAACUCAUUGGUGCGGUGCAGGCUGUGUCCAUGCCUGCGAUGCCUGCACGGCAUAGGCGUUGCCAUUUUCAAUUUGGGCAGGCCAUUUGGCACAACGUGAGGCCUGUGGACUAGUGGUAGCCUACACACAAAACGAAAAUGUGCGUGUGUUGGUGAGAAAGUCGGGGUGCACGGACAAAUAAUGCAACAGAAUCGUGGCACAGGAAACUCAAGAGAGUGGUGGGCGGGCCCCCACCCAAAUAUCUACGCCUGCUUGGAAGCGCUGCACUGGAUCGAAUCAGCACAACGUGUGGGGUAUCUCCAAGCAGCAAAUGGCGCUGUUCAACGCAAGCGGGAAAAGAAGUGGCAGAAGAAGGAGGCCCCUCGAUCCUCUGCCUUGUGGAAAAGACUCCAGGCAGGGGAGAUCAACCUUCCUAACAAAAGCCCAGAGGUACUGCGGCUUGUAAUUGCUUAGGACAGCAAUAUCACAUAUUUAUGUACAUAUUAGUGCGCCUGUAACGUAUAUUACUCUUUUAUUAAAUUUAUAAUCAAUA